rnacentral:sRNA from 1 species
GCCUGGAUGAAAAAAUGAGACCCAGUCUCAAAAAAAAAAAAAUCUGAGGAUAGUUACAGAUUUAUUUGUUCCUCCUCCAUUCCCGCUGCUUCAUUUGACUUAG